rnacentral:tRNA from 1 species
UCCCUGGUGGCUCAGACAGUAAAAAAUCUGCCUGCAAUGCAGGAGACCCAGGUUCAAUCCCUGGUCAGGAAG